AGUAGAUGAGCAUAGCUUUCAGAAGAGUCCUGCAGGAAAGGGUCUCUAGGUCUGGCUCUUAAUUUUGGACCAUUUGUGUUUCUAAUUAUAAAGAUGACUCAAGCUGAGAUUAUGAAUCUCUGGUAGCUCUGAAAAUAAUAUCCAAAGCUGAGCCACAGUUAUCAUUAGAGGCACUGAAAAUAGUUGCAAAACAAUGUACUGAUAUUUCCUCUAGUCACACCAGCUCUGGAAAAUGUUGACAGGAGGCACCAUCACAAAACUUUUGCCUGACAAAUGAAGAAGAGGACAAUGCCUGUAAUUUAGAUUUUGUAGUCUGCCAUCAAUUAAGUUGUAUGAGAAUCAUUAGACCGAAGAGGGUAUUUGCGUGGGAAAGGUGAAUGAAAAUGCUCACUGCAUUAAUAGUGCACUACAUACACUGAGAUUUUGCUAAUGAAGAAAAAGUGCAAAUACAGAGUUCCACUAUCUAAAACAAAAACAAAUUAAACUUGAUUCAUUGUGCCAUAGCCUUUAACAAGGGCGAUAGUAGGCGCUUUUGCAGGGUGAUAUUUUGUGAUUAUUGCAAAGAGUGACAUCUUUCUAUAAAAUGAAAUUAUGAAUUGUUUCAUGAAUAUUACAUCUCUGACACUUGCAAAUCUGUGCUAUUUUUUUUCCACUGAAACACUUAGGCAAUUACUCUUCAUGGAUAAGACAGAAACGUCUGGAUGUACAAUGGUUUCUGCAUUAACAAAGUUGCUAUGAUGUAGUCCGCUUUUUGCAUCUACUAACCUGCAGUGACCAGAAGCCAUUAUUUUCAUCGGACACAAUGGCAACCGGAAACAUUACCCUCACAAUGCUGAAGAAUGUAAAUGCAUUAUAUCAUGACCUCCAAGGAUGUGAACAUGCCUAGAGCUGCCUGCGAAAUAUGUUGUGACACCCAACAUGGCAACACAGGAAGUCCCUGCCUGCCUCUGCUGUCCCUGAUGCUGGAGGAGGAUAAGCUUUGCUGGUCAGUGGGUGCUGUUGUGGGGGUGGCCAUGGCUGGGCCAUUGGGAGUGUCUUGCUCUUUUGGGGAUGCACAUGGUGGGCAAAUGUGUUUAAAAAUCCAAAUGAAAGUCUACAGAAAUGCAUCACUCCCUCAACUCAGUGAGUCUUGUUUUCUUAAACUGCCCACUGAAGUGCCAGCUACUGGGGCUGUUAGAAAUGCCUUCUCCUUUCUAGGAACACAGAAAUAAGUGUGUCCAUUAUGAUAUGUGUAUGUAAAAAUACACUCACUCUUGUGAGACCCUCUACAGUUCCAAAUUGCAGAGAAGGUGAGUAGUACAAGGGCAUGAAGUACUUGCUGGAGUGUGGCUGUGUGCAGGCACCAGCACACCCUGCUGAGGGCCCACACUGCUUCCUUGAGCUGAGCAGUACCGUCACUUGGCUCAGUUCUGCUUAGGAAGGCACGAUUAGACAGCUAGCCUUUAAAGAGAAAAGUGAGCUUCUGGAACGUGAUUGUCAUCAUGGAGAUGGUCUAUUUCUUGUGACGUAUUCCAAUCUAGUGCUUUAUCUAGCAGUCAGCAACCCUGCCUGCAAGCAGGGGGUGGAACUGAAUGAUCUUUGAGGGCCUUUCCAACCCAAUCCGUUGUAGGAUUCUAUGAUUUUUAAUCUGUAUUUAUGCACAGAGGAGGCUGAAAACAUUGGAAACAACAACAACAAAAACCACAAAAACAAACAAACAACAAAAAAAACCCAACCACAAAACAAACAAAAAAACCCCCACAACUGCCAUUUUGAUCAAAGCUAGGUGCAUGAACAAGUACAAGAACUAUUGCCACCAUGAUAGCUGGGUAAUAUGGCUUAGCCAGGGCACCAAUAUGCUGAGACUGAAUGGAAAGAUGCUGGAAACCCCCAGAGAAAGAGCCCUGCUUGUAAGCAAUGUGACGGUAGAAUAUCUGUUUACACAAAUCUGGCAUUAUUUAAUGGUGCAAAGAUUAAAUCUAUCCUGCAUGUUUGAAAUGAUAGGCACAAUUUAUUUGUGUGUCACACAGUUUCACUUUGGUUUUUAAGGACAAUGAUGUGAUUGUGACAAAGCCAAGUGACUCCCAAGGCUCAUCCACAAUGCUGAUGAGAACUGGUGGGGAACACAAUGGAUGAGAACGAAACAAUUACCAGUGUCUUUUAAAGGAAACUGUGAGAGAGAGGUGGGCAGGACUUCGAUACAGGGAAGGACGGAAAGCAAGAGUGUGGGGCAUCCAUGGAAAUAUGGCUAUCUUUUCUGCCACUGUUGGGCUUGGGGGUAUUUUUGACACCCACAUGGAAGAACAAUGCAGGAUGAGAAUGGCGAUGGCUCAAAAGCAAGCACUUUGCCAAAAACAUUGUGUGGGUACAAUUGGCUAUUCAGGCCAACGGAGAUGGGUUUCAUAAGGGUCCCCUCUUUUCCUGAAACAUCUUAUUCUCCUUGCUAAAUGGCAUUUAAAAGCACCAAAUAUUGUAUUAAAAAUGCUUUUCAGGGCUAAACAACGUUAAAAGCACUUUGUAUAGCUUGCAUUGCUAUUUAGGAAAGCAUGUUAUUCUUUUUAAUUUGCUCACUCAUUCCUGAAUAACUUUUCAUAGGACUCCAGACACUGCAGUGUGACAGCUAAACCAAGGAGCAUCGGAUGCAAUGGAAUUGCUCUACAAGCAACCUUGCCAAAGGCCCUUUUGCUGCACAAAGCUGGCUCUAUCUUUGUAUAUUGAGGGAACUAAAUCAAUGUUAAAUGCUUGGCUCUUUUCACAGGACAAUGACCAGGACCUAAGCUGCGUCCUUCCUAUUUGAUUGACACUUGAAACGUUGAGUUGGAAUCAGCCAGAGGCACUGCUACAAGCUUGAAGCCUCUGCUGGGGAUAACAACUGGUGACAUCUGCAGAAAGGCCGACAAAAGGCAGUUGAAAGCCGUGUUUGUUGCUUUCCCCUCUCAGAUCUCCUCUCUUUCAUGGAGCUCCUUACUUGCUUUAAUAUUAUGAUUCAGCACCUGGCUCUUUUGAACCUUGCUUUAAACUUCAAAAGGCGAGGUGGUAUUAACAAACAUGAAACGAAAAAGUGGCAGUAGUUUGAUUUACUGUUGUCGUCUUAUCAAGGGGGUUUUUUGUCACCAGCUGCCACUUUCUGUCAUCUUUGGAACCAUUAUCAUUUCUCUAAAAUCUAAAAGACUCCACUUAAUAACAGCUUUGAAUACAGGCAGGAUCAGUAACGUAUACAGUUCUGGGAUGACAGGGCCAUGAAAUGAAAAGAAAGAUGUUGACAAAAAAAAAAAAAAAAAAAAAUCCUUAAAAAAAAACAAUAAAACAAAUAAAAGCCAUAGUACUUCUAAGUGACCUUGAUUUCAGAAUUAAACAAAUCAAAUCAAGCACAAUUCCAUUGUUCUUUUUGGAUUAAUUCUGCACUUUCUUUGCAAUGUUUCUUUUUUGUUCUCAGGACUAAGAGAAAACAAAGCCAAGGCUUUCAGAAAACUGCUCGGCACACAACAAGCACUCGGUAUCACAUGAGUGCCGUAAGCUUCUUGCUGUAAGAUUGCCAGCGAUAAUUACUGGUCUUGUUUCCCCACCAUCCCAGCACAGCAACUCGCAUUCAGGCUGAGCUGCCUUGCUAGUCAAAAAUAUGCUCAGCUCCCCUCUUAUAGUGCUGCUCCAUGCUUUCCUGCAGUUCUUCCCAACGUGGUUGUGCUGGUCUUUGGCUGCCAAGGCAGAACCAAAAAUGUUCCUGUGCCUGGUCAAGUUUGCCCGUUGCGGCUGCUCACAUUAAGUCACAGGCAGUCAAAUAAACACAAUUUUCUAAAGUGUAAACCUACUGCACUUUCACACUUGUCACCUCAUCAUUCCUUACAGGAAACUUACUCUGAUCCCUCUGAUCCCUUUGUUUUAUAAUGGUAUGCACAGAAAUUUUUCCAAGUGCCUUCUAAAGUCAUGGAUAAAUGAUGGACAACACAUUGCAAGCAAUGACUUUUAAUUUGUACAUAUUGGAACCUGCAUUUCUGUGCAUCUUAAUAGUUACUUCCAUUUGUGCAAAAAGAGUGAAACCAAUUGAAAAACCCAAAGGAUCCCCUUCACUCUCUUCAUUGAUGUGUCCUCCCUCUCCUUAGUUAUGUGUAACUCCAGGCAAUGGGAUCCAACACUUAUUCUCCCAUUGGCCUCUUCCAGACCUGUUCAACCACAGGAAUCUGGGGGAGAUUUGUGCCAGAAUGUCUUCUUAAAACAGGGAUGGAAACUACAAAAUGAGAAUGUUCAUAAAAGUGAAAGUGCUGACGUCUUGACCAGUGAAAAUAUAGGAUUUCAAGACUACAAAGUUGGUUGACUUUUUAUGGAUUAGGACACAACAUAACUCAUGAAAUUGAGAUGGAGAUUGCUAAAAAUACCUAUUAUCCUCUGACAGAAGCACUUACUGUGUAAUGACAAUGAGACUUUUUCACAGAGCAUGUCCACAUUUGAAAUUCUAGUCUUUUUAACAAGUGUUAAUUACUGCAUGCUAACCAGCAGAAGCGUGUGGGGGAGAUGUUUUAUAUUUACUUGUUCCAGACUGGGAACAUAUUAGAAAGUAGGCUCCAUUCCAGAUUAAUGUGGUAUGAAUGAAUGUGUUACCCAACUACAAAUGAAAAAUAUUGCAAGAAGAAAUAAAGAUUUUUCCCUGGCAUAUUUCUUUGAAGAGGAGACCAAGAAUAUGUUUCGAGCAUUAGGUCAAGUGGAAAUCUGAGCCUGACCCUAUUAAAAGUGUGUGUGGCAUACAGAUACCAUAGCAAUGUAUCUGUGGGAGGUACAUUUUGGUUUACCCAUGAAAAAUGAGGUAUUCUGAAAGAACAUAAAUGGGAAAGAGUGGGUACAGUUGUACCAGUCUCCCUGCGUGCUUUACGAUGAUGCUGGAGAAGAGCUACAUAUACAUAUAUAUAUAUAUGGAUAUAUUUAUAAAUAAUUUAUGUGUAAUUCACUUGUUAUAUGUUGAGUACAUUCAUUCAUAUGCAUGUUCAAUAUAUUUAUAAUAAAACAGUGUAUGUAC
ensembl:lncRNA